AUGUACAGCUGCUCCAAGUGUGCCUCCACCCACUCUUGGUCAAGAGUACCUCCCAGUUGCUGAGCUGCCUACUAUCUGCAGUGGUGAUGAAAUGACCAGAGACACUGACAGAUGAGAGCCUCAGCAGCUUGGCAGUCUCACAUCCCCUUAUCUCACUUGUCCCUACCUGCAACUUCCAAACCAGUGCAAUUUCAAGAGACAUUGACACAGCAGCCAAGUUUAUUGGAGUUGGGGCUGCUACAGUUGGGGUGGCUGGCUCUGGGGCAGGGAUUGGUUGGGACUGUGUUUGGGAGCAUCAUCAUUGGUUAUGCCAGGAAACCUUCUCUGAAGCAACAGCUCCUCUAUCCCAUUCUGGGCUUUGCCCUGUGGGAGGUCAUGGGGCUCUUUUGCCUGAUGAUAGCCUCUCUCAUUCUUUUUGCCAUGU
rnacentral:lncRNA from 1 species